rnacentral:rRNA from 1 species
AGAGUUUGAUCCUGGCUCAGGAUGAUCGCUAGCGGCAGGCUUAAUACAUGCAAGUCGAGGGGCAGCAUGACUGUAGCAAUACAGUUGAUGGCGACCGGCAAACGGGUGCGGAACACGUACAGAACCUUCCUUCGAGCGGGGAAUAGCCCAGAGAAAUUUGGAUUAAUACCCCAUAGCAUAUUGAUGAGGCAUCUUAUUAAUAUUAAAGAUUUAUCACUUGAAGAUGGCUGUGCGGCUGAUUAGAUAGUUGGUGAGGUAAUGGCUCACCAAGUCUGCGAUCAGUAACUGGUGUGAGAGCACGACCAGUCACACGGGCACUGAGACACGGGCCCGACUCCUACGGGAGGCAGCAGUAAGGAAUAUUGGUCAAUGGAUGAAAGUCUGAACCAGCCAUGCCGCGUGGAGGAUGAAGGCCCUCUGGGUUGUAAACUUCUUUUAUAUGGGACGAAAAAAGGCUUUUCUAGGUCGUCUGACGGUACCAUAUGAAUAAGCACCGGCUAACUCCGUGCCAGCAGCCGCGGUAAUACGGAGGGUGCAAGCGUUAUCCGGAUUCACUGGGUUUAAAGGGUGCGUAGGUGGGUUGGUAAGUCAGUGGUGAAAUCUCCGAGCUUAACUUGGAAACUGCCAUUGAUACUAUCAGUCUUGAAUACCGCGGAGGUCAGCGGAAUAUGUCAUGUAGCGGUGAAAUGCUUAGAUAUGACAUAGAACACCAAUUGCGAAGGCAGCUGGCUACUCGAAUAUUGACACUGAGGCACGAAAGCGUGGGGAUCAAACAGGAUUAGAUACCCUGGUAGUCCACGCCCUAAACUAUGGAUACUCGACAUUUGCGAUACACUGUAAGUGUCUGAGCGAAAGCAAUUAAGUAUCCCACCUGAGAAGGUACGAUCGCAAGAUUGAAACUCAGAGG